UGAGGAAUAUUGGUCAAUGGGCGAGAGCCUGAACCAGCCACGUCGCGUGAAGGAAGACUGACCUUACGGUUUGUAAACUUCUUUUGUAGAGGGGUAAUGGCAGAUACGUGUAUUUGCGUGAAAGUACUCUACGAAUAAGCAUCGGCUAACUCCGUGCCAGCGGCCGCGGUAAUACGGGGAUGCGAGCGUUAUCCGGAAUUAUUGGGUUUAAAGGGUGCGCAGGUGGCUAAUCAGGUCAGUGGUGAAAAGCUAUGGCUCAACCAUGGUCUUGCCAUUGAAACCGUAUAGCUAGAGAGGAGACGAGGUAGGCGGAAUGUGUGGUGUAGCGGUGAAAUGCAUAGAUAUCACACAGAACUCCGAUUGCGAAGGCAGCUUACCAGGCUUUAUCUGACACUUAGGCACGACAGCGUGGGGAUCAAACAGG
rnacentral:rRNA from 1 species